UUUCAGCUCGUACUUUUUCCUGGUCGUCGUCCCCUUGCUGUUACAACAAACAUUUCAAAUAAGUCCAAGCAACACCACAACAUAUUUGCAAAGAAUAAACCAACUCUUCAGAAUAUAGGUAUGAGCUCUCAGUUGAACUCGCAAGGUAGUGGCACGCAAAUAGGCUAUGAUGGUCUUGGAGGCCAUCACAAAGUGGACGAGUUCCCAAAGCCUCGCCCAGUUUUACUCAAAAAGAAGAGUGUGAAAGUUGUUACGAAAGGUGGCUCAGCAGCAAGAGUACAGAGCACUACUUUGAAAAACUUUUUUCAGAAUACUUUUGAUGACUAAUUGUUGUAAUAUAAUUACAGGAAUUGAUUUAUUGUAUGUGUGUAUUUAUUCUAUUUUAUGUCCCCCUUGGAAAAUAUCUUAUAAAAUCAGAACUGAGGUAAAUGUCAUGUAAUAAAACUUUGAUUUUAAUAAAGAGGUUAUAAUAA